rnacentral:misc_RNA from 1 species
UGGUUCUGGCAUCGAUGAAGAACGCAGCGAAAUGCGAUAAGUAAUGUGAAUUGCAGAACUCAGUGAAUCAUCGAAUCUUUGAACGCACAUUGCGCCCCUUGGUAUUCCGAGGGGCAUGCCUGUUCGAGCGUCAUUAUAACCACUCAAGCCUUGGCUUGGUAUUGGGGUUCGCGGUCUCGCGGCCUUUAAAAUCAGUGGCGGUGCCGUCUGGCUCUAAGCGUAGUAAUUCUCUCGCUAUAGGGUCCUGGCGGUUGCUUGCCAAAACCCCCCUAUUUUCUAUGGUUGACCUCGGAUCAGGUAGGGAUACCCGCUGA